GGCCCCCCAAUCCCCCAAAGCCGCACGCCCCUCCCUCCCUCCUCACUCGUCUCAGGCUCUCAGCCGCCGCCCCAUGAACCCUAGCCGCGCCCCUCCUGCAUCUCUCCUCUUACCCCCUCCCUGGCCUGCCCCGAGCUCCUCCUCCUCCGUCCUCACAUGCUCCACCACGAGCACGCCGGCGGCGAAGCGCACCGCGAGGACCCGGGGCAACUCAGCUUGUACAGAGCCACUCCGUACAGGAGGAACCCCGUGACCAGAGCAGCCAACAACGGUGACGCGUACGGCACGAGGAGGUGCGCAAGAUCGGCACCGACGAGGGGGUGCUCCAGGAGAAGGUGCACGGCUCCGCCUAGGACCAUGUGUGUGGUGGCGGGGACAUGCGACCACUGGCAUAUUUUGGGGAGCGGCACGAACAUCAAGCAAUGGCUGAGGUGAGAUUCCCCUCCCCUCCGCUCCUCUCUCUCUCUCUCUCUCUCUCUCUCUCUCAGUGUCUACUGACCAUCACAUAAUAAUCUCCUCCAGAUCUUGAUAUUUAUGCUUCUCCAUAUGUCAUUGAUGUUCUUCCGAUUUGUAGGCAUGUCAAGAUCAAGGAUAUUAAAUUUGUUUCUUCUACCGAUGAAAUAUUUCAGAUACUUUUUUAUCUUGUAUUGCAAUCCUCUGUCUUGAUGUUUAUUUUUUGGAAAUCUAGCUAGCGUUAUGCUCCCCUUGAAGUUUUCUAUCUGUAGAUGAAGUUCCGAGCUAAGACAUAUGGUGUUAAUUGUCUCAAAGAUGGAAUGAUUUGCUCCAUGGAAACUAUCUCAUUAGCUGCAUUCCAAUUACAGUUCAUGUUCAUGGCCUUGUUGUGGUUGCACCGUGGUCCGUGGGGAACAGGAUCGAAUACCUUUGCUACAACCAAGGUCUGGACACUUCAUGUUCUGUUUUGCCGAUCCUGUGUAUGUUCUGUUUUGCCAAGUGAAACGUGUACACUUCAUGUCAUAUAGCAUAAUAACUUGAUAUCCUGUUUGAACUAGACAAAUAAUUUUGACAAGAUUUUAUCCUGGUGAAACAUGUUGUCAUAGUGUCAACAUAAUAAUAGAAAAACGUUUUCAAAAUUCGACAUUAUAGAAUAUAAAACUAGACAAAGUUAUCUCCUUGAAAUUAUCACAUUUCCCUAUCCUCAGCUCCUUGCCAUGGUGGCUGCUGUAGGUUCUAAUCUCAUGUUGAACCCACUGUUCUCAACUUUUCUUCUCCUUUUUCUUAAAACUUAAACAAUGGUACUCUUUGUUGUAAUUUAAAAAAGGUUGGAAAGGUUGAAAAUUUCUAUUUUGAGGAAUGGUGACACCAAUUUCUGAGUGGUACUAUUUGUUGUAUGCAUAUAAUUAAAUAUCGUAUUAUAUUUUUGUUUUUCUUGGAACUAUUGACAUGUAGUGGAGGCUGCAUUUGAUUUGCUGGUGUGUUAAGCACAUAAAUAAUUGCUUUUGCCUUUUUCACAAACCAAGCUUAGGUACAAAACUAACUUUAGUGUAUCCCUCAAUGCACAUGGGUCACUCUCUAUCCUUUUUAGCGUAGAUAAGUAUGGCAACAAUACUUCAGGUUGCGGCUCCGCUGCAGAUAUGCCCAUUGCCAUUGAGCCUUUCUAUCUAUAUGUUUCUACAGAGUAUUUCGUUUUUGUACUAUACGCUUGACAAAAUGAUUUCCUUAUAAGCUACGAUAAGGUGUUUGUAGUUGGUAUUUGUACUACAAGCUCAAUUUUUUUGUUCAUCUCAUCUCUGGUUAUUUUUUUUCGUUUUUUUGUAUUUAUGUAGCAUAUUAUCAUUAGCAUAUAAAACCUCUUAUGUUUCUUGUUUCCAAUAAUUAUUCUUUGGCAGGGAAGACUAUUAAAACACGAAGAUUAUGAGGAAAGGAUUCAGAGCUUUUUGCCGAACCCAGAUUGCCACACACAUGAUGCAAAAUUAACAACCAGGACUUUGAAAUAUGGAUGACGAUGUUUAUUAUGUGCUAGAAAUCAAAUAUGAAAAGGAGAAGAUAAUGCUUGCGAAGAAAAUGCUCGAUAGAUCUCAUGUAUGGAUGCGGUUGUGGCAGUAGUUCUCGGGUGCAGUCUCUAUCUUGAUAAAGCGAUCGAUCAGUGCGCAUUAGAGGCUGAAGAAGAGAAAACAUUUGGGGUUUCUAUGGCGUUGAACAUUCAGCGUUUAUGUACUGUGUACAUGCAUGGCCGGUUCAGUAACUAGAUGGCCUUUUCUACUGUAGUGGUUCUGCUACUUUUCACAUGCUGGCUUCUUUGAAAAGCACCAACAGUGUGUGCCACAUGUAAUCAGUCAAUGUUACAAAGAACAGAACCAGAAGUGUGGGGAUUGAUGUAUUAAUGGUCAGUCAGGGAAUUCAGUCUUGAUGAGCUUAACUAAUAACAAAUGUUAGUUGAGCCUGAGGUCAUUUUCAAAGUAACAGAAGUAUUUUACUUUCCUUUUAAUAUAAGUGGUCAACGGAACUUAUAUGUUUUAUUAGAUUAUCAGAGGGCGUUGCUGAAGCUGGAGUCAUGAUGGCGUUAGUAACCUUGGUGAUGCUUCUUAUACGGCAAACCAACUUGUUUUUUAUUAUCCUAUGGGUUAUUUAUCCAGUUGUUGCAUAUAGGAGUAUUGGGGAGCUAAUAAUAUUUGAAACUGAGCUAGCCUACUAUUUCAAUUUGAGUUCAAAAAUUACAAAUCUCAGUGUUUGUUUUCAGUCAUCAAUCUUCUUCCCUUCUUUUUUGCGUCACUUUUGAUAGCUUCUUUCAUUCUGUACAUAUUAGUUGCCGCCUCAAGCCUCGGCUCUUUUUCUAGACUAGGCCUCAAUUUACUGGAAAAUGCAGUCUUCAUUUACUGAGUUAUAUUUUUGUCUUGCUUUC